rnacentral:rRNA from 1 species
GACAGAGGCCUCAAGCGUUUAGGCGGAAUCACUGGGCUUAAAGCGUGUGUAGGCGGAUCGUUAAGUGUCUUGUGAAAUCCCACGGCUCACCCGUGGAACUGCUGGGCAUACUGGCGAUCUUGGGCCAACUAGGGGCAACUGGAACAAGCGGUGGAGCGGUGAAAUGCGUAGAUAAUCGCUUGGAACGCCAAAGGUGGAAAACAGGUUGCUGGGGUUGUGC